CGGAACGUACCCAGUAGCGGGGGAUAACUACUCGAAAGAGUAGCUAAUACCGCAUACGCCCUUCGGGGGAAAGGGGGGGAUCUUCGGACCUCCCACUAUUGGAGCGGCUGAUAUCGGAUUAGCUAGUUGGUGAGGUAAAGGCUCACCAAGGCGACGAUCCGUAGCUGGUUUGAGAGGACGACCAGCCACACUGGAACUGAGACACGGUCCAGACUCCUACGGGAGGCAGCAGUGGGGAAUUUUGGACAAUGGGGGAAACCCUGAUCCAGCCAUUCCGCGUGUGUGAAGAAGGCCUUCGGGUUAUAAAGCACUUUUGGCGGGAAAGAAACGGCGUCGACUAAUACUCGGCGUAACUGACGGUACCCGCAGAAUAAGCACCGGCUAACUACGUGCCAGCAGCCGCGGUAAUACGUAGGGUGCAAGCGUUAAUCGGAAUUACUGGGCGUAAAGCGUGCGCAGGCGGUUCGGAAAGAAAGAUGUGAAAUCCCAGGGCUCAACCUUGGAACUGCAUUUUUAACUACCGGACUAGAGUAUGUCAGAGGGGGGUGGAAUUCCACGU
rnacentral:rRNA from 1 species